rnacentral:rRNA from 1 species
UACAGAGACUGCAAGCGUUAUUCGGAUUCACUGGGCGUAAAGGGUGCGCAGGCGGCCAAGUGUGUCAGGUGUGAAAUCCCGAGCUUAACCUCGGAACUGCGCCUGAAACUACUUGGCUAGAGUACUGGAGAGGGUAACGGAAUUCACGGUGUAGCAGUGAAAUGCGUAGAUAUCGAUGAGGAACACCAGAGGCGAAGGCGGUACCUGGACAGUUACGUGACGCUCGAGGCA